rnacentral:lncRNA from 1 species
CACACACACACACACACACACACACACACACACACACACACACACACACACACACAGUUCUGUUAUAGGCACAGACACCAUUCAAACAGUUUUAGAAACUUUAGGGUGUUUUCUAUCAAAAGCCAAUAAUUAUAUGCAUAUUCUAGGAGGAGUAGUAACCAGAUUAAAUCGGGUACGUUUUUUAUCCAGCCGUGUCAAUACUGCCCCCUAGCCCUAACAGGUUAAACUACAUCUUUAAUACUUAAGAUACUUUUGCAAAAGUUCUUGACCCCCAAUAAUGCAUUCUCUCGAAUGAACCAGGAAGGUGAUUACAGAAUGGCUACAGGGAUCUUUUAUAGCAACGAUACACCCCCUUCAACGUACAUUGACAAACCACAGAUACUUAGUAACAGUUCACAAAGGUUAAGUUUUGUAUGACAGAUAUCAAUAAAACACAGACCAGUAUCUGGUCCCCUUAGAACCGUCCCUCCCUGGUACGGUAUUGAACAAAAACACAAUUUCAUCCAAUGGCAUAUAUCAAUUGUCAACUCUAGAUACUCCCAUCUCAAGAAAACCCCCUCUUGACCCCACUCCUGGACAGGCUCACUGGGGAGUGAGCCUCUAGGCCAUAUAAUAUCCCAGGAUAAGUGUGAGAUCUAAGAGAGGACAUACAAGGGUCCAGACACUGCCAUAAUCCUCCCCACAAUAAAGAAAAGGAGGGAGUGACUUGCUCACAGACAUUGUGGAGACAAGUCAUUGGUUCCCCAUUAAUCACGCCAUCCCUUCACAUGGUUUAAGAAAUAGGUAAAGACACAUUCCCAUGACGACAAGUCUGACCUCUCCCCUCUCUGGGCCCCAAGUGUCUGAGCCCCAGCUAAGGUAGACAUGCAACUCAAAAGACACCAGAGUCCAAUGGACACAUUCUAAUGACAAGUAUCUCAAAUAAGCAUAUUAUACUAAUAAAACAUCUUAAUUAUCUAUGUUACCCAACUAAUUCUGAUUCGUCCACGACAACACACACACACGGACAGAUACACACACGCGCGCACACGGACGGACAGACACACAAACACACACAUGGAUGAACAGACACACACGGACGGACAGACACACACACAAACUCAUACACACCCAGAUAUCAAAUAAACUGGGUUUGUGUGGGUUGUGUUUGAGCCAAUGGGUGUUUCUCAAUAUGCAUGCUACCGUGCUCCAAGUGAAUUCUCCUGAGUACUUCCUCUUGAGGUUGAGAGCGUGGAGAACACAUAAAACUUUCCAUUUGAGAAGCACUUCCCCAUUCACUGACCCUUCUUCAAGCCAGGACAAUGACCACAAUAGACGAAGAUAUACACAAAGACAACUUUGACUUCAUAAUUAUCAGCUAGAUAUAUGUGAAUCGUUGUAAUCUAGUUAGCCAGCUAGCUAGUUAAACAGGAAAAAAAUGAACCGAAAAUAAUGUUAUGCAAAAUACAGUCGAUGUCAAUUCUUUGUGGGUAGCUAGCUAAACAAUUUAUUUCGUGGCUAGCCAGUUAGCACUAUUGAUUUACUAUGGACUUCUUCAAGCCAGGACAAUGGCAGUAGAGAUGAAACAAGAUACACACAAAGCAAAAUGUUUUACUUCAUUAACUAUCAGCUAGCUAUUUGCUCGCUGUCUGGGGGUUUUAUGGCUGGGUUUCUGUACAGAACUUUGUGACAUCAGCUGACGUAAGAAGAGCUUUAUAAAUACAUUUGAUUGAUUGAUUGAUUGAUUGCUUGAUUGCUAUAUGUUUAUUGUAAUAAUGUAGCUAACCAGAUAGAAUAACAGGCGAACAAAAAAAAAACCCCGACAUAAACCAAUGUUAUCCAAGGUAAGAUGUCAAUUCUUCGUGGGCAGCAAGCUAACAAUUAUUUGUGGCUCUCUGGCUAGCUAACAGUAGUAGCUAGCUAGUUAGAUCAAUUGAUUUACAAUGAAUUGGCUUACGACCUACGAACACUACAGUGGGUAUUGUAGGCAGGUAACCAUGCCAAAAUGGUCUGUAUUUAUUAACAAAGCAAGAUAAAAAAAAAAAGACAUUGUAGCCAUGCAACAUAUGUGAUUAGCUAACAUUUAAAUUCCCAAGUAGCAUUGUAUUUUCUCUCGCUUCAGCUCAAAUAAUGGCCGCCAUUGAUUUUAAUAAAAUUUGUGUUAUGUUUUUUUUAUGAUUAUUAUUUUUAAAAUGUGUUUGUUUGCUUACAUCGAUGCAUGCUUCAAAAUAUGUACAUAUGGAGGACGCAUUCGAAAAGUGCCCUCCAUGCACUGUUUCACAUACUUUUGAUUUGGGACUCGUACCCACGACCCUCCCCCCUGCUACAAUUUGCCACGGUAUUAUGGAUUAUAGAUAAACACCCCAUUGAGUCAAACAUUUUUUUUUUUUUUUCAUUUUUUUUUUUUUGCCCAGUGGUUUUCCUGAUAAUUUUCAAGUAGAGUUAUUAAUGUUUUCCUGUCGUUUGCUGUGACUUCUACGAUCUAUUGCGGUUUUCUUAAUAUAUACUGUUUAUUCUAACUGUUAUGUGACGGAUGUAUGGUUUUGUCUGAAGACAAUUUCUGAACAUUCUUAUUAAACGUUCUGUGGUGCUAAGCUUUUUUCUUCAACACCAAGGGGCUGAAUCCCCUAUGGCACCCUAUUCCCUAUAUAGGGCACUACUUUGAUCACUACUAGAUCCCUGGUUAAAGGUUUUUGUAUGUUAACUAGACAAGUCAGUUAAGGAAAAAUUCUUAUUUUCAACGACGGCCUAGGAACAGCGGGUUAAACUGCCUUGUUCAGGGGGGGGGCAGAACGACAGAUUUUUGUUGUACCUUGUCAGCUCAGGGAUUUGAUUUUGCAACCUUUGCGGUUACUAGUCCAACGCUCUAACCACUGGGCUACCCUGCCGCCCCAAGGUAGUGCACUAUAUAGGCAAUAGGGUGCCAUAGGGCACAGAACCUUGGAGAUGGACCUCCAAGACUGCCUUAAAAUCUUACAACAAGUUACACGGUAGCAUGGCGGGACAUGAUUUUACCAUCGUCAGUAGUACAAUCCAACACCUCUGUCCCUUUAAACCCCACCAAAUACACACUGCCGCCUUACGAAAGCUUCUGCUGAACUGCAUCAGUGAAACUAUAGUAUCUAAUCUAGUUCUCUGGAUAAGAGCGUCUGCUAAAAUGUUUCAAACCCCUGUGAUGUGAUGAUCGUUGUACUGUUGUAAUUAUGUUUAUUCUCCUCUCUGCUAAUCUCAGUUUAGAGUGUCAGUGUAUGUUUUUUGUUGAAAGGAAACAUGAGGUGUGAUUACAGGUAAAUGAUGUUUUAUUGUCAAGGGCCUACUGUACUGAGUCUAUUCUGGGACCCAAAUGGCACUCUAUUCCCUAUAUAGUGGACUAUUACCUAAUCUGGAAAAUUUGACCUUAGGCAACACAGAGACUAGGGUCUGUUUUCAAUGAUAGACUUACGUCAAUUAAUGUCUACGUCAAUGGGGGGGGGACUUUUGACCAGAGCCCUACUGUGUUUGGCUAGUAAAUAAGUCUUGAAAACUUGACCCUAGGCAACACAGGGACUUGGGUCUGGCUUCAAUUAUGGAUUAUUUUGGCAUUGAGGAACUACAUCACUGGAGGGGGGGAUUUCUGGGGACCAAUCAAAUCACAAGGCUGACAUGAGUCUAGAGCGUCUCGAUUCGAAACCAAAGUUUGCAGCGGUUUUAUCGAAGGGUAGUUGAUGCAAACUAGCCACUUGUGAAAUGCACCCGUUAAAAAUAACCUACAAGUCCUCCAUCUUUGCUAGUUCUGAUUUAUAUUUUAGUCAAGAGUAGUGACGUAGGUAGUGACGUAGUGCCUCUAUGCUACGUAGGUAGUGACGUAGUGCCUCUAUGCUACGUAGGUAGUGACGUAGUGCCUCUAUGCUACGUAGGUAGUGACGUAGUGCCUCUAUGCUACGUAGGUAGUGACGUAGUGCCUCUAUGCUACGUAGGUAGUGACAUAGUUCCUCUAUGCUACGUAGGUAGUGACAUAGGUCCUCUAUGCUACGUAGGUAGUGACAUAGGUCCUCUAUGCUACGUAGGUAGUGACAUAGGUCCUCUAUGACUAAAGAGUCCAUCAUUGAAACCAAAACCUGGUUAUGGUGUUACCCAGGUUCGGGUUUUCAAGACUAUCUACUAGCCGUACAAAGUAUGGCUCUGGUCGAAAUAAUAACAACAUAUCGUCAAAAGUAAUGCACUAUUUAAUAAUAACAAUAUAUAUCAUUUAGCAGACUUUUUUAAAUAUUUUUUUUUAUAUCCAAAGCGACUUAGUUAUGUGUGCGUACAUUUUACAUUACGGGUGGUCCCGAGAAUGGAUCCCACUACCCACCAGGCAUUGCACUUCCUUUCCAACUGAGCUACAGAAAGGACCUAUAACUUCAUAGGAAUAUUCUAGACAUCUCCUACGGAACAGGGAAGCAUUUUGGGAGUCACAGUACUAGCCGAUGUGAGAUUACGAUGCCUGGAUACGAAAGACUUUCCGUGUGUUAAAUCUGAUUAUUAUUAAAAUAUCUUGGUGGUUUGACGAAACGUUAUACGAAA